rnacentral:sRNA from 1 species
GAUGAAACUUCAAGUUCAUCCAUCUCGUAUUGAAUUCCACUCUAGAAUCA